CUCUGCCGCUUCCCGGAUUCCGCUUGAGCACAACGGCAGAGGCGGGGGACCCACAGUCCCGGGCAAUAACUGCCCUUGGGGUUAAGCACGCACGUGUAUUUUCCGUGCGGCCGGAUGCCCUCAUCCGAACCCGACAGCUAACUCCGCAGGUGUGAGAGGCGAU
rnacentral:sRNA from 2 species